CUCACGGCCAUCAGAGACACGGGAGUUGCUUCUCUUUUCAAAAGGUGCUCUGCCUAUAAUUCCUGGGCUCCUAAGACAGAGACAGGGGAUCCUGAAGCAAGCUAGCUAGCCAGACCAUGCUGGUGCACAUGCAGGAGCCAGGAUGUCGCUCGGUCGGAUGUCAAGCGCCUGCCUGGGACUAACUGUCCAGAGUCGGACCGUCAGCACUGCCUGGAAAACAGAAAGAAAAGAGGCACCCUGCCCAGUCUCUUUUAGAACCCAUCCGAUGGUGACUCCCAAAAUGAGCAUGAUGUAAUCCUCAUCAUCAAGGCCUUUCUCAAGGCCUUUCCUUUUGCUGAUAGAAUGCAAGUUCUUCUUUUUGGACAAUUUUCCUUCUAAUCCAGACCUACUUUUGAAAUAUUUUGGAUUGUAUCACUUAUAAUUAGCAGAUUGAAGGCAAACAAUAAAGUUUCCAUAAAGUAGCUACCUUAAGAAUAAAAAUCCCAAA